GACGAACGCUGGCGGCGUGCUUAUCACAUGCAAGUCGAACGGAAAGGCCCUGCUUUUGUGGGGUGCUCGAGUGGCGAACGGGUGAGUAACACGUGAGUAACCUGCCCUUGACUUUGGGAUAACUUCAGGAAACUGGGGCUAAUACCGGAUAGGAGCUCCUGCUGCAUGGUGGGGGUUGGAAAGUUUCGGCGGUUGGGGAUGGACUCGCGGCUUAUCAGCUUGUUGGUGGGGUAGUGGCUUACCAAGGCUUUGACGGGUAGCCGGCCUGAGAGGGUGACCGGCGACAUUGGGAGUGAGAUACGGCCCAGACUCCUACGGGAGGCAGCAGUGGGGAAUAUUGCACAAGGGGCGGAAGCCUGAUGCAGCAACGCCGCGUGCGGGAUGACGGCCUUCGGGUUGUAAACCGCUUUCGCCUGUGACGAAGCGUGAGUGACGGUAAUGGGUAAAGAAGCACCGGCUAACUACGUGCCAGCAGCCGCCGUAACAC
rnacentral:rRNA from 1 species